CAUCCUCCAAGGCUAAAUACUCCUGACUGACCGAUAGUGAACCAGUACCGUGAGGGAAAGGCGAAAAGAACCCCGGCGAGGGGAGUGAAAAAGAACCUGAAACCGUGUACGUACAAGCAGUGGGAGCACCCUUUGGGGUGUGACUGCGUACCUUUUGUAUAAUGGGUCAGCGACUUAUAUUCUGUAGCAAGGUUAACCGUAUAGGGGAGCCG
rnacentral:rRNA from 1 species